AUUAUGGCGGGAGGGAGGCGCCAACGCUUCCUCUCCUUCAUACCCAUGGCCUCCAUAAGUCCGUAUCGCCGGCUCCACGAAGCACUCAAUCGUGAUUUGAUUCUGGAACUAUCAAUCUGCCGGGGAAGACGAGGUUAUUCAUAUGUGAACAAAAAAUUCAUCAUGCGAGCAUAUCCAUUAUUUCCGUUACAAGAAUUGCAAUGACUGCUUAUCGGUGGUUUCUUUUUGGUACCAGCAUCCACUCUAUAAGGAAUACGACACUUCCUGCAACUAUUACGCUGAAUAUGUAGCAAGUUAUGAUGGGCUGACUUGCAGGUAUUAUAAUGACACUAUUUUCUAUAGAAGUCCAUUUAUAUGUUUUAAAUUAGUGGAUUAAGUUCAUAGUAUAACAACAUACUUUUUUAUUUGUCUCACUUUGGUCUCUAGCCAUUUUUUCAUUUGACUUGGUGCAAAAAGAAUGGCUUAAUGUGAAAAGUAUGGGAAAUGAGGCUUUCCCCAUUAAGUUCUACUUUUGCAGAUUUGCUUUUUUUUUUCCCUUCCAUUUCUCCAUGCUUUUCAUCAAGCACUUAUCUGGACCACAUUCCACACUUAAGUAAAAAUAUUUUUUUGGGUUACUUAAAAGUUUACCUCAAUUUUGCCCAGUGUUCAUUGAUUUGAUGCCUUUUGUCUGGUAGAUGUAGGUCAUCUGUAAAUCAUCUUACCUUUCCUAAAUGAACUGUAAAACUGUCUCUCUUCCUGCAAGUUGAAUAGUUAACUUAGGCUAGUUUUAUAUAUGAUGCCCAAACUACUGUGAAAAUAAAAAGACUUAAUCGUUUUUAUAUUUAAACAUACAUGAAUUUUGGGUCAGAUUUUAGUACUACUAAUAAGUAUUUAUCCAUCUAUUAAGCGUACAUGUACUAUAUAUUAGCAAAAAUGAAACCAAUAUUUUGAUGCUCAAGGAAAAAAGAUAACAAAUGAAUAGAAUAAUAUUCUGAAAAAACGACUCUCAACUUUGUUCAAUGUAUGAUAUACUCCCGAAAUAAUAAACUAGGAAAAAUGUAGAAAAAAAAAUGUAGUGAACCACUGCUAAUCUAUCGCCUUACGAUUAUAUAUCUGUCUGGCUAUAGCAAAGUAAAAGAAGGCACUCUUUUUAGCUGUGUACUUUUGUUCUCUCAACUCAUCUAAGCAAUUGCCUGGUAUUCUUGACUCAUGAUUCCUAACUGCAGAUUAAAUUCAGAAAAAAAAAAAAAAGUUAAAUUUAGUUGUCAAGAAUGUUUAACCUCAUUAGGUCCCAUUUGUUACACAGGACAUAACAUAACAAAUUUUACUGCAGUUGUCAUUUAACAUGCAUUAGACCGGGACUCUGAUUGAUGUCAGUAGGACAAAUAUUGAAGUUUUUUAUUCCAUCCAAAAAGGUGGGACGGAAUUUUUUUAUCUCUUGAAUGUGAGAAAGACAAGAAUACCCUCCUCAUUUUCAUCAGAGUAAAUAGUCCUAUAGAAGGUUUUUUCUGUCCUGUGUAACAACGCAGUUUUAAUGGACAAGACUUAUUUACUUGGAGUUCA